UAGUGAACUAGUACCGUGAGGGAAAGGUGAAAAGAACCCCGAGAGGGGAAUGAAAUAGACCUGAAACCGUGUACGUACAAGGGGUCGGAGUGGAUUCCCGCAAGGGUUUACCAUGACGGCAUGCCUAUUGAAGAAUGAGCCGGCGAGUGUAUAUAUCUUGCAUAGCUAAGCCCUUCCGGGGCGGAGCUUCAGGGAAACCGAGCGUGAAUAGCGCUACAAGUAGGAUAUAUACGACCCGAAGCCAGAUGAGCUUGCCAUGAGCAGGGUGAAGUCCGUCGAAAGACGAAUGGAGGCCCGAACCCGUAGGUCGUUCAACGCCUUGGGAUGACUUGUGGUAAGGAGUGAAAAGCUAAUCGAAUCUGGGAAUAGCUGGUUCUCUCCGAAACAGCUUUUGGGCUGGCGUUGCGAAAGGUGUGCAUGGGGGUAGAGCACUGGAAGGGACCAACAGGGAGAAAUCUCGUGGUUCCUAUCAAACUCCGAAUACCAUGCGCUCGCGCAGCAGUUAGAAGGUGGGGGCGAAGCUCCAUCGAUCGAGAGGGGAAGAGCCCUGAUCGCCAAUUAAGGCCCCAAAAUCGACAUUCAGUACAUCAACAAGGAAGUGAGGGUCCACUGACAGUGAGGAUGUUGGCUUAGAAGCAGCCACCAUUUAAAGAAAGCGUAACAGCUCACUCAUCGAGGAUCCUUGCGCCAAAGAUGAUCGGGGUUAAAUGUCGUGCCGAAAUUGCGGGUUCCGGAACAUCAGUUUGGAUUUAAAGGUCUGACUUUUUUGAAUUCUUAAAGUAAGACUUUGGAAUUCAAUCCAAACUGAUGUUCCGGAGCGGUAGGAGAGCGUUCCGUUCGCGCUGAAGCUUAAGGGGUAACCCAAGGUGGAGCGUACGGAAGUGAGAAUGCCGGUACAAGUAACCACAAUGCAGGUGAGAACCCUGCACGUCGAAAGACCAAGGUUUCCUCAGCUAUGGUGAUCAACUGAGGGUUAGUCGGGCCUAAGGGGAUGGCGAAAGCCGCACCCGAUGGACACACGGUCAAUAUUCCGUGACCGUUUUUAGAGGCUAUGGAGUGACGAACUGCUGUAUGCACUGCCGGUUAUUGGAUUCCGGUUGUUGGUAUGAGGGCGCGCGUUAGGCAAAUCCGGCGCGCACUAUCCCAAGUACUGACACAAUUUCCUCCUACGGGGGGAGAAAGAGCGCACAGCGCGGUUUCAAGAAAAUCUUCUACGCACCAACUCUAAAGACGACCGUACCGCACACCGACACAGGUGGUCAGGUCGAGAAGACUAAGACGAACGAGUAAGAUGUCCUCAAGGAACUCGGCAAAAAAGCGGCCGUAAGUUAGCGAUAAGGCCUUCCCUCACCACUUUUGAUGCUCAAAAGUGGUGAGGGACGCAGUGAAAGUUUUUCUGGCAACUGUUUACCAAAAA
rnacentral:rRNA from 1 species